UAGAUAGAUAGAUAGAUAGAUAGAUAGAUAGAUAGAUAGAUAGAUAGAUAGACAGAAUUAAUGUGAGAGAGAGAUAGAAAGUCUUUGUGAGAUAGACAGUGACCUCAUCGAAGAGUCUAUCAGUAUUUAAGUUUGUCCUCGCCUGGCAACGCUGGCUGUGUCCCAGCCUUAUUUCCUUGCCAGAGGGAAAACCUCAGUCUGAACCCCAUCGGCAGCACUGCCAUGGAUCUGAUCUAUUCACUGUCGCCUUCCAUUAAGAUGAGAGAGCGAACAGGGUGUAGGCACACCCAUGCCAGGAAGCCUGUCUUACCCCAAAGAGCCCACAUCAUUGUUUAUUCAGCUUGAGCGCAUCAUAUCUUGGCAGCCAGGGUGAGAGUGAACAGACAUUCAACAUUUUAGAUCGUAAGAACAUAAUCAUAACAUAGCUUCAAGUGGCGGCCCACUUAAGUACAAGGACUAAAGAAAAUGGCCGUCACUUUAAUGCCCCUAGACACAGGCGAAAAAUAGUAGGAAUUCUCGUUGUCUGCUUCAUUCUGGAGAAGAUGAACGGUAAACCUUGUGCUGCAUUCAUGGAUCCACUAAGGCUGAUUUUUUUUAAUUUUUUUUUUUUCCCCCUUCAUCAAAACAAAAGAAUGCCUCCGUCUAUUGACCGUGAAAAGAUGUUCAUAGAUUUGUCCCCAGUGAAGAGAUGUCUUUGUUGGUUAUCUCCAUUGGUGAGCCGCCUCCAUUUGGCUCAGCCUAAUCAGAACACAAACACGCCUCUGUCAUUUGGCUGCUCUCCCUCCUCUCCCCCUGCUGCCCCCCCUCUCUCUCACUCUUAUUAGCCAACACUACAAAUUAGAUUUCUAUUUUCUCUCAUCUCAACUCAUUCUCACUUCUAUUUUUUGUAUCCCCUCUCCUCCUUACGCUUGUUUAUUAGUGCAGCGGAGAGAAAUUCACACCGUACUGAUAUCCCCUCCUUCCACCUUUGCCUCUGAUUUGUUUUCUUUCUUUCAUCUUCUUUCUUUCUAAUCUGCUCAUCUAGAUGGUGUGGAGCUCUCCCUCGGGCACAGACACUGAGGCCUGGCAUACAUUUUCUUUGCUUGUCUGUGCAAAGCCUGGUUUCGGUUGCCGGAGGGGAAGUGUUGCAAAUGUAAAGAGAAUCCCUGAGGGAGAAGACUUGUGCUGGAUUCCUGGUGAAUACAAGGUUUCCUCUCGCUUCUCCAGUUUCCAACCACCCUGAAAACAAGCAUAUUAGGAAAUAUGAACACUCAGACCAUUGCUCUGAACUCCUACUUGCCGCAGAACUGGAAUUGGUCCCCAGCCUCUGUACUGCAGCUGCCCGCUGCUUCUAAAAUAGCGUGUACAUAUGGAAACAGGGACAUGCCUCAUCACAAUCAGUCUACCAGGAGCCACUCCGUCCAGCAGAACCCAGGAACAUUUUCAUUGAAUACAGAUGCACCCUUUGAGAGAGCAGAAGACAAGUUGGCCGCAAAUGUGGCUGAGUGUGCAUUGAAGUGUUUGUACUCACAAGAGAGAAUGUUGCUGAACAAAAGAACAAAGGAAAUGUGCAGAAGCCACAGCGGCCUGGUCCCCGUGGCAGACUGAUCACUAUGGCGAGUAUGGCUGAGGGUUUCAGCGGGGAAUUGGGUGCAGAAAACAGGCCCUUGUAUGGUGAAAUCAUGCAGACCCUCAUUCCUCUGGUCUUACGGAAGACUAUUUUGGGGCAUUUUGAACUCUCCCACGCAAGCACAACAAUUUUGGGGUUAGUUCAUUUAUUUAUCUUUUAUGUUUUCCAUCUAAUGAAACCCAAGAGAGGGACGCGUAUAGUUGUUUUUGGCCUUCAAGUGAGGGAGAAAAGGAGGAGGGGUGUGAGUGUGUCUGCGUGCCUGAGUUUGUGACUGUAGCCAGAACAAUCACUGCAUUCGGCACUUUUGAGCCUUACUCCAAAGCACAACUGCAGCUAUGACUCAACUUUCAUAUCUAAAACCUAUUGCAAAAGGUGUGUCUGUUCUGCAACACCACUGAGACUAACCCUGAUGGUGUAACUGAGUUUCUAGCUCUGCGCUGGCCGAAGCUGUAUGUUGCUGUGAUUUAUGGUUAUUCUCAUAUACAGAG